rnacentral:rRNA from 1 species
UACGAAGGGGGCUAGCGUUGCUCAGAAUCACUGGGCGUAAAGCGCACGUAGGCGGCUUUCUAAGUCAGGGGUGAAAUCCUGGAGCUCAACUCCAGAACUGCCUUUGAUACUGGAGAGCUUGAGUCCGGAAGAGGUGAGUGGAACUCCGAGUGUAGAGGUGAAAUUCGUAGAUAUUCGGAAGAACACCAGUGGCGAAGGCGGCUCACUGGUCCGGUACUGACGCUGAGGUGCGAAAGCGUGGGGAGCAAACAGG